GCGUAGCCUCCCUUGUCGUCCCGCCACCAACUUGACGCCAUGGAAGCAUAGCAAAAAAAAUAACCCUUCGACAACCGCAUAGAUCAGAACAAUGUCGCGUCGAAGAUAAAGGACCAGUCCGAUGAGCUCAGCGAUGGAGCCGACGGUGGAUAAGGAGGAGGAGGAGGUUCGUACACCAUCAUCAGGAGAUCGAAAUCCUCGGUCGUGGCGGCCGGAGAGUACCGGAAGGAUCGCGAGGAGUGGAGCGACGGCGCGAUCGCUUGCCUUCUCGAUGCGUACAUGGACAAGUUCACGCAGCUGAAUUAGGGAAAUCUGAGAAGUCGGGAUUGGGAGGAGGUGGCCGUGAUCGUGAGCCAGAUGUCCGAGGAAAACCAAGAGCGUCGAGCAGUGUAACAACAAGGUCGAUAAUUUGAAGAAGAGGUACAAGCUCAAGAGGCACAGGAUGACCAAUUCUGGAAAUUCACCGAGUCAUUGGCCUUGGUUCAAGAUAAUGGAGCAGAUCGUCGACAAUUCGCUUCCGGUGAAGGCCACCUCUGAUGAUGACAGAGGCAUUACUUCCUCCGGUGCCACGCCUCAGAAAUCAAAGAGAAAUGCAAGUGCAAUUACUAGUCCUGAACUCAGAUAAAUAAGCAUCCGAAAAUUAGGCUUAAAUGGCGAAGAGUGGUGUUCAAAGUCAGUGGUGCUGCUCUAGCUGGCACUGCUGCUAACAACAUUGACCCAAAGAUAACAAUGCUGAUUGCGAGAGAAGUUGCAAUGGCCUACCGCAGUGGGGUGGAGGUGGCAAUUGUUGUUGGUGGUCGCAACUUUGGCUGAUGGGUGUGGCGGAUUUAGGGGUUUGGGCGGUGGGGUCAGUGCGGAGGGUUAUG